AGAGUUUGAUCCUGGCUCAGGAUGAACGCUAGCGGCAGGCUUAAUACAUGCAAGUCGUGGGGCAGCACAGGUAGCAAUACUGGGUGGCGACCGGCAAACGGGUGCGGAACACGUACGCAACCUUCCUUUAAGCGGGGAAUAGCCCAGGGAAACUUGGAUUAAUACCCCAUAAGACAGUGGUGUGGCAUCACACAGCUGUUAAAGCUCCGGCACUUAAAGAUGGGCGUGCGGCUGAUUAGGUAGUUGGCGGGGUAAUGGCCCACCAAGCCGACGAUCAGUAACUGGUGUGAGAGCACGACCAGUCACACGGGCACUGAGACACGGGCCCGACUCCUACGGGAGGCAGCAGUAAGGAAUAUUGGUCAAUGGACGCAAGUCUGAACCAGCCAUGCCGCGUGGAGGAUGAAGGCCCUCUGGGUUGUAAACUUCUUUUAUUGGGGAAGAAACCGGUGUUUUCUAACGCCGUUGACGGUACCUGAUGAAUAAGCACCGGCUAACUCCGUG
rnacentral:rRNA from 1 species